UAGUAGAGACGGGGUUUCACCGUGUUAGCCAGGAUGGUCUCGAUCUCCUGACCUCGCGAUCCGCCCGUCUCGGCCUCCCAAAGUGCUGGGAUUACAGGCUUGAGCCGCCGCGCCCGGCCGGACCCAGUAGGAUUUGAAUGUACAGAUGGGCAGAGGGCACGUGCCCAGCCCAGGCUCUGGGCUCUUGCCACAGUGUGUGGCAACUUCCAGGGGCUUGCUUAUUGGUGCUGCACGGGGACGUCUCCUUUGUUGAGAUGUCGCCAGAGGCAGAGCAGGUGUUAAUGAAGGGGAGUGAGCAUAGGACCAGCCCAAGAGGCUGAGGCACUGGCCAAGGCUUUGGGGGCUGGAUUUGUGCCCCACCCAGCUCCUCUCUUGUGGCUAUCUCCACAGCUCUCCCUACUGACUGGGUUCCUGGCUUUGUUUUCUCAGCCAUGAUGAGGAGCAGCCCUGGGCCAGGUGCCACAGUGUGAGAGGCUCCAGGGUCAGGCUAUAGAACUACCCAAACCAGGUCUGGGGAGCUAUCUGUGGGAAAGGUCAGGGCCUGUUUUUCUCCUCGACUUGGCAGCUGCUGGCUGUUCAAGGGACCUACCUCCUUGUCCCUUCCCAGCCACAGGUCCAAGAGGCAAACAGCGAAUUCCCAUGGAGGAGAAUCACUGUACUCCAAGUGGACGUGGCCGGUAGGAAGCUUCCCUUAUGCUGCCCUUCUGGAAGGUGCCUUCCCCUGUGCUGACAUCUGCAGGAUGCGCCUUACACCCCAUUUGGAUGUCACAUCUUGAGCUGUGGGAAAGGAGGGCAGGGCUUCCCUCUCUGAGCCCCAUGCCCAGCAGGGUAAGUGUCCAGGGAGCGCCUGCUGCCUGGAUGGGCGGUUUGCGCUGCUUCUGCUAGCACAGCAGAAUCCCGUACCUGAAAGUGAAACGUCUGAAUAGGCUCGCCGUCCUGAUCGUAAGUGAACUUGCCAAGGAGUGUCCCCUCCUGCUGCAGGUCUUCAUCAAACCCCUGCAAAGAGAGUGAAGGCAAGUGUGGAGGGGCUGGAGCAGGGAGAACACCCCUCCCCACUCUAAUCCCUGCUCCUCCCAGCCAGAAGGUCAGGCACCAGCGUGGCCUAUGACAAGUCACUUAACUCUCUUGUGCCAGUUUCUGCCUCCAAAGCCUGAGGUAACACAGACUGAAACGCUGUCUCCCACCCUGGCUCCUCCUCUUCCAAAUCCACUCCCCUCCCUCCCAGUCCAAGGGUGACCCUGACUUGAUCCUCAGUAGAGAGGCCCACAGGAUCCUCCUGCAGCCCCUCUGGCCCCACCACGGGACAGAUACUCACAAAGAUGGCGAAGUCCUUGGGAGCACUGGAGAUGGUGCUGUUGGGUGACAAGGCCUUGGGCACAUGCUCUAAGGUAACGGCUGUGGGGCGGAUGCGAGCAGAGAGGCGGACCACGGCGAACCCCUGGGGCCCCUGGAAGGCCCAGCAGUUGCCUGGGUGCACAUCUGGCUGGAGGAGCAGAAAGUCAUGUCAGACAGGGCCCUGAGUCUAGCUCUUGCUGACCCCGGAUGGGACCGGCCCCCAGUGUGCUCAGAGCCCCUGCUACUGUGCUUGCCAGGUGCCCACCUGGAGGAUGACUCGGGGUGACUGGGAGUGGUACCACAGGGGGAUGCCGAAGAGGCUGAGGAGGGCCGUCUUGGUCUCGUAGGUCUCAGAACAUCGGGUGCUGAUGACGCUGGCCCCUGAGACAGGAGAGGAAGGCAGGGUGAGCUCCCACACGGCAAGAGGGCCCAGCUCAGGCCAUUGGCUGUCUCCUCGCGGAGGGCAGACGGCAGAUGCCCCAGGUCUAGUCUUUAACCCUAACCCAGAUGCCCAGAGCAGCUUUAAAGGUCAGCCUCUCCCCAGCCCAGGAUGGUGCUCGGUACGUCCCGACUUGCCUGAAUUGCCACUUGCCUUGUGGGGGUUCUAGGUUUGGGUAACCUGCUGAUCCUGAGCUUUGCUUGCUCUGCCCCACCACCAGCCUGGUAGGUGCCAGGGGACCGGCCAUUGUGGGGCCCAGGACAAGGCAAAGCGAGGAAAGCAGGGCACGUACCUCCUGACUCCAGGGCAUAGUCCGCCAGCCCAAUGCGGUCUUCACUGUAGCGCUGCAGGGCCUGCUUCACGAUGCGGUGCACCUGCUGCAAUGCGGGCACCAGGAGACGGUUGUGGCAGGGAGCAGACAUGUCCCCUGUCACCUCGCGGCCGUGGGUCAAGGACCCAUGGGCUGACCCCUUCUAGGCUUGCACUGUGCUGGUGCCCAGGCAGAUGUGGGCACACUGCCACCCACCCAUGCCAGCCCCACAGCAUGCAGAGCCUCCUGCUUGGCACUUCCAUCCUGGAACCUGCCAGGGAGCUGGCAGUGUGGGACUGUCCAGGGCUCCCAGGGAGGAGAGCUGUAGGUGGGUGUGUGGAGGGGGCAUGUGGGCCUCACCUCCUCUGUCACUCCAAUCACACCUUCUUUCUGCAGUGUCACGCCCAGGGAGGCUGCGGCUUCCCUGGCCGACUUGCCCUGCAUCUCUGCCACAUGGGUGAGGAUCUUGCUCUCCAGCUCUCGCAGCUGAGCUUGCAUCUCCUCUCUCUGAAGGAGCCCCAUGCGGCCCCCUCCGCCUCGGGCAAGGAACUGACUGAUCCAGGCUGGGAACUGAGAUUCCACCUAAAGGAACCAAAAAGGGUGUCACCCUGGGGGGCUUGCAGGGACAGCAGGAGCUGCUAUGACAGGGUCAGUGCUUAGCUGGAUAGCAGGGAUAGGGUAGGAGGGAGGCCACUGGAGGAGAGUUAUGAACGCUCUCCAUGGGCACUGACAGAAAAACAGGAAGAAUGCCUGUCAAUGAGAGCCCACAAGUGCCAAGGCCAGCGCCACAGUCUCUUGGGCAUAACAGAGGCUGCAGGGGCAAGGGGUGCCUGCUUUGCAGGCCCCAGGACACGUGGUCUCAGAGGAGGAGGAGAGGGACCAGCAGGGCCCUGGUGGUUCCCACUCACGUCGUCCCGCACGGCCUGGAUCUGCUGGGGCAGCAAGCCCACUUCAUCUGCCACUAAGCUCUGCUUCAGCGCCAGAGCCGCCAGCUCCUGCUGCAGGCCGGCCAGCUGGUCCUCCAGCCGCCUCAGCUCCUUCACAGAGCUCUCCCGGAAGGACUCCUGGGUCAUGCUGGUCCCAGAGAGAGAAGAGUAAGCCUCAGAUCUCUUUGGUGGGAGGUAAGGCCACACCGAAGAAGAAAGAGGACCCCCUAGUGGGUUCCUGUCCUGACAGCGGGUGUCCAGCACUCAUCAUGAACCUGAGAAGGGGCAAGGCCUCUCCUGGGGGUUCUGGCUGCAGAACACAGUGCAGGUGCCCAGGAACUGGCCUGCCUGUGCCAAGGAGCUAAUUCUGAGCCUGCUCCCUUUCUAAGCCCAGAGUCCAUAAUUUACUCUGCCUCAGUCUCUCACAUCUUCCACAGCAUGGACAUCUGGGGCAUGGGAAGGCGGUUAUGUGAGGCUGUAAGAAAGGAUGCUAUGUCUAUAAAUGAAUCCAGGUCCUCUCAUAGGGCCUGCCCCCCGCCCUCAGGAUCCCCCUGCUAACCUCCAUGGCACCUCAAAGACAGGCCCUGGGCAGGGGUCCUGAGCUGGGCUUCAGCCCCUCCCCACAACCCUCUGCUUGGCAAGACAAUCAGAACUCUCUGUCUGGGGCUCUGCUCCCCAGUCCUGCCUGGAGAGUGGGUGGGGCUGGGGAGGAGCAGGCCGAGGCCAGCUGGUGGUGCCCAGUACCUUUGCCACUCUGACUUCAGCUGCUGGAUGCGAGCCUCGGACUCCUGUGUAGGAAGAAGAGACAAACACAAGAAAUGCCCAGCUCAGAAACUGAUGUUCCAAGCUCAGAAAUUGGUGUUCCAGAGUAGGAUCUGCUGUCUGUUAGCGUCUUUACUUAACCACACCCCUGCCCAAGGUGUGGCUGCUGACCCUGCAGCAAAAAUCAAACUGGCCUCCUGGUCAAAGCCCUCAUGAGUCUCGUCCAUGUCUAACACACUGAGGUAUCCGUUCACCCACACUCAGCACGUGCACACCAGCAUGGCAGGCCGCUGUGCCCCGGCACACCCCAGGGAGCCCCUGCACAGCUCUCCAACUAAGGGGUCGGGUCAAACAGAGAAGUCAGAGGAGGGCACGCCCCUCCCUAUGCAACACGCAAGCAGUCCCUUUGGAAGGGCUGAGGGGUCCGAGGUGAACAUGUUGGAUGGGGCCAGGACCCGGUCACAGGCCCUGAGUGCCCAAGCCCGCUGACCUGGGAGGCCCGGACGAUCUUCUUGAAGAGGUCUUCUGAGUCUUGCUGAUGCUCUGCUCUCAGGGCAGACAGUUCUUCCUGUCAGACAGCAGUGAGAGGACAGGUCUGACAGAGUCAUGCUUAUAGGGACCCUUAUGACUAGGAAGUGGUGGAACUGGAAUUCAGACAAUGUGUUUGCUUCCAAAGCCCUGGCUGGCUCUCAGCCUUCAGGCUACAUUGCUUCUCUGAACCAUGCAAGACUCCUGCGUCAUCUCCACUGCACACCUGUGCGGUGUCAGGCACCAUGCUGGGGCCUUCUACUCACACAGCUCACUAUGGGGUGGGGGAGACAUGAUGGCCUCCAUCAAAGAGGAGGAAACUGAGGCUUAGAGAAGGUGAGGAAGCCUGGCGUGGUGGCUCAUGCCUGUAAUCCCAGGACUUUGGGAGGCCAAGGCGGGGAGAUCAAUUGAGGUCAGGAGUUCAAGACCAGCCUGGCCAACAUGGUGAAACCCUGUUUCUACUAAAAAUACAAAAAAAUUAGCUGGAUGUGGUGGUGCACGCCUGUAAUCCAGCUACUUGGGAGGCUGAGGCAGGAGAAUCACUUGAACCCGGGAGGCACAGGUUGCAGUGAAUCGAGAUCGCGCCACUACACUUCAGGCUGGGUGACAGAGUGAGACCAUGUCUCCAAAAAAAAAAAAAGAAGAAAAAGAGAAGGGGAUUAACUGCCAAAUGGCAGAGCUGUCUGAUCCCAAAUGGCACUUGUUCUCUCUCUUGCUGGCCACCUUCAGGCUUUCCUACGGGUGUCACCCACCUCCCACCCUAAGGUAUUCUGCCUCCUACCUGGAUGCGAGCAGCAGCUUCCCUGCGGAAAUCCUCCUUCAGGGCAGCUUCACGGCGGCUCACCAGCCCCUCCAGCAGUGCCAGGGUGUCCUCGUGGCUCAGGCCACCGCCACCUCCCUGGCCAGGAGCCCCUUGCCGCAGCUCUAGACGUUCCAGCCGCAUGGCCUCCUUCUGCCAGUUGGAGGAAAAUUCAGCAGCAAGAGCUUCCAGACGCCGCUCGAGAGAGUGUACUCGGGACAUAACACGCUGCUCAGCCUGGCAGGGCGGAGAGAGAGCCACUGAGUGAGGGACCCUUGGAUGACAGUGCUUCCCAAAGACCACCCCGACACAGCCAACACAGAAAGAAAGGGAAAAGAUUCCACAGAUAUUCCAGCAUAAGUCCAUGCAGGGCCAGCUGGAGCUCAUAGGCAGGGGCUGCCGACCUCUGAGCUGGGGGUGCCGGGAGCUGGGGAUCACUGGGUGCUGGUCACAGAGGAGGGUCCCUGAGGACACAGUACAGAAGUCUGAUCCCAGAGGAGGAAGGAAGGUGGGCCAGGGAGAAGGUCUGAGUGCAGCGACGGUCCAAGAGGAGGACUGGAAGCUUCAGGAUGGCUGCAGGGGGCCAUGGACCCUGCUGGCCUGAAGCUCACUCCUUCCCUGCCUCCUGCAGGGACAGGGGAGCCAGGGCUGUGAGUUCAGCCUGUGGACUCUCAAUGGCUUUCACUCUUUUCCUAGGGAACUAUGGCUAAGAGACAGAAUAAUUGGAAAAUAUGUUCUUUUUCUUCUUUAGCAGGAUGUCCCACAGAGAAAAUGGAAUAAAUGUCAUUUGGACUGAGGGUGGCAUUUGAUAGUGUGUCAUGAAUUUGAGAACGUUGUUGGCUUAACAACAAAAUCAUUGCCAAGAGAAGUGAUAAAAACUGUCAAAUAAAGGGCAGGGAGCUACUGAACAGCAGAGGUUCUGAGUUUUAGAAAUUUUGGUUUUUAAAUAGGCACUACAUUUGCGUGACUCAAAAAGCACACAAAAAGGCUGGAUAUGGUGGCUCACGCCUGUAAUCGCAGCACUUUGGGAGGCCGAGGCUGGUGGAUCACCUGAGGUCAGAAGUUCGAGACCAGCCUGGCCUAUAUGGGGAAACCCUGUCUGUACUAAAUAUACAAAAAUUAGCUGGGGAUGGUAGCAGGUCUCCUAUAAUCCCAGCUACUCAGGACGCUUGAGAAUCGCUUGAACCCGGGAGGCAGAGGUUGCAGUGAGAUGAGAUCAUGCCACUGCACUUUAGUCUGGGCAACAAGAGCAAGACUCUGUCUCAAAAAAAAAAAAAAAGCCCAUAAAAACCAGCAAAAAAUCCUCUGCCCCAUCCCCCUAGUUGCCUCACCACUAGCCUCUCCCAGACCAGGAAGCUGUUUUUAUUUUAACUUCAUGCAAAUGUUGCUAAUAUAAGAUAUAUAUAUAUAUUUUUUUUUUUUUUUACUCUUUUUUUUUACAAAAGAGAUGGCUCUGAAAUUGAACUGUAUUUAAUGUCUUUAAUGAUGAAAAAAGGAAAAGUCAUAGAUGACAUGUCAUUAUUUUGUAAAACAAUAAGAUCAUGGUCUGGUACUCACUUUGGCAGCACAUGUAAUAAAAUUGGAAAGAUCA